UAAUAAGUGUUUUAUGGCACUUUUUAAAUCCAUAUCCACCUUGUGUGCAAUGUCGGUCGAUCUUCUUCAUGGAGAUCGACCAAACAUCAACCUUUAUCUUUUAACUCUUUGUCUGAAAAAUAUUAUGAAUAAACAAUUCAAAAUG
rnacentral:misc_RNA from 1 species